UGCCCUUUUCUUAACUUCCUUUUGGUCCUCCAUUUUGAUAGCCCUUCAUAGUUGUAGUAUCUCUCUCCUCUUCAUUUUCCUUGUAUACUGGUUGUGGGACAUUCAAAGGUUAAGCUUGUUGAGUUUUAUCCCGAAGAAAAAGGAAAAGCUAUUUGAUAAAAACAGAGCAGUUACAUGCAUCAUCGUAGAGAUUCAUGUUCAUGAGCUUUUAGUAUUACGUUUUUCAUUAUUUUCUUCUUUGUAUCAUGUAAUUUAUGCGUUCCACUUUUUCCAUCAUCCCCAACC
rnacentral:lncRNA from 1 species